UACGUAGGUGGCAAGCGUUGUCCGGAUUUACUGGGCGUAAAGGAUGCGUAGGUGGAUAUUUAAGUCAGAUGUGAAAUACCCGAGCUUAACUUGGGUGCUGCAUUUGAAACUGGAUAUCUAGAGUGCAGGAGAGGUAAGUGGAAUUCCUGGUGUAGCGGUGAAAUGCGUAGAGAUUAGGAAGAACACCAGUGGCGAAGGCGACUUACUGGACUGUAACUGACACUGAGGCAUGAAAGCGUGGGGAGCAAACAGGAUUAGAUACCCUGGUAGUCCACGCCGUAAACGAUGAGUACUAGGUGUAGGAGGUAUCGACUCCUUCUGUGCCGCAGUUAACACAAUAAGUACUCCGCCUGGGAAGUACGGUCGCAAGAUUAAAACUCAAAGGAAUUGACGGGGGCCCGCACAAGCAGCGGAGCAUGUGGUUUAAUUCGAAGCAACGCGAAGAACCUUACCUAGACUUGACAUCUCCUGAAUAGCCGGUAACUCGGCGAAGCCCUUCGGGGCAGGAAGACAGGUGGUGCAUGGUUGUCGUCAGCUCGUGUCGUGAGAUGUUGGGUUAAGUCCCGCAACGAGCACAACCCUUAUUAUUAGUUGCUACCAUUUAGUUGAGCACUCUAAUGAGACUGCCGUGGUUAACGCGGAGGAAGGUGGGGAUGGCGUCAAAUCAUCAUGCCCCUUAUGUCUAGGGCUACACACGUGCUACAAUGGUGAGUACAAAGAGACGCAAGACCGUGAGGUGGAGCAAAACUCAAAAACUCAUCCCAGUUCGGAUUGUAGGCUGAAACUCGCCUACAUGAAGCCGGAGUUGCUAGUAAUCGCGAAUCAGCAUGUCGCGGUGAAUACGUUCCCGGGCCU
rnacentral:rRNA from 1 species